GACGAACGCUGGCGGCGUGCCUAAUACAUGCAAGUAGAACGCUGAAGAGAGGAGCUUGCUCUUCUUGGAUGAGUUGCGAACGGGUGAGUAACGCGUAGGUAACCUGCCUUGUAGCGGGGGAUAACUAUUGGAAACGAUAGCUAAUACCGCAUAACAAUGGAUGACACAUGUCAUUUAUUUGAAAGGGGCAAUUGCUCCACUACAAGAUGGACCUGCGUUGUAUUAGCUAGUAGGUGAGGUAACGGCUCACCUAGGCGACGAUACAUAGCCGACCUGAGAGGGUGGUCGGCCACACUGGGACUGGGACACGGCCCAGACUCCUACGGGAGGCAGCAGUAGGGAAUCUUCGGCAAUGGGGGCAAACCUGACCGAGCAACGCCGCGUGAGUGAAGAAGGUUUUCGGAUCGUAAAGAUCUGUUGUAAGUCAAGAACGAGUGUGAGAGUGGAAAGUUCACACUGUGACGGUAGCUUACCAGAAAGGGACGGCUAACUACGUG
rnacentral:rRNA from 1 species